AUGACAGUUGGACAGUGAGCGAUAAAGUCAAGCAUCAAGAGUGAGAAAGAACUUUUCUCUCUAAGGUUUCCUGAGGGAAGGGUGCUGCUGGCAGAUGCUGGUGACAACUGGCUGCUGGAGAAUCUGAUUGAAGGAGAGUGUGUGGGUUGCUAGCUGUCCAUUGUUUAGACUGACUCACCUGAAGAUGACACCAGGCUGACGAUGAUGGAUGUGCAUAUGCUGGAACUCUGCACCACAACAGUUGCCAGCAAACCCAGCAUUGCCCAGGCUAUGGGGUUGAAAAGUACUAGCCCGCCAAAGAGAAAUUCUCUGGCCACUUUUCCUAAAAAAGUAAAGACAUUUAAAAAAUGCUA